AUGUCCUCUGAUUCUUUAGCGUUGUCUUCUCUUCACCCUCUUGAUUCUCCUAUUAAUAUUCUUACUGCCAAUAGCACAUCUCUUCCUGUUGCUAGUCGUGGUAUUCUUUCCACUCCAUCCUUUUCUGUUCCUAGUGUUUUCCAUGUUCCUAGCCUUACCAUGAAUCUCUUUUCCGCUGCCCAACUUACUGAUUCUGGUUGUCAUGUCAUUCUUGAUAUCGACUCUUGUUCCAUUCAGGAUCGCCGCACCAAGGUUUUGGUUGGUCCUCGCCCCCGGCGCCGUGAGUUAGAGGGCCUUUGGGAAGUUGACUGGCUUUGUGUUCCUUCCGCUGCCACCACUUCAGUCAGCUCUCAUGCUCUUGUUGGCUCUUCGUCUGCGUCCUUUCAGCAGUGGCAACAUCGCCUUAGUUACAUUUGUGGCUCUCGCUUGUCUUCAUUAGUGCGUCAGGGCCUCUUUGGGUCUGUAUCUGGAGAUGUUUCUUUACAUUGUAAUGGUUGUAGACUUGGAAAAUAG
rnacentral:rRNA from 1 species